rnacentral:rRNA from 1 species
AACGAACGCUGGCGGCAUGCCUAACACAUGCAAGUCGAACGAGAUCUUCGGGUCUAGUGGCGCACGGGUGCGUAACGCGUGGGAAUCUGCCCUUUGGUUCGGAAUAACAGUUGGAAACGACUGCUAAUACCGGAUGAUGACGAAAGUCCAAAGAUUUAUCACCAGAGGAUGAGCCCGCGUAGGAUUAGCUAGUUGGUGUGGUAAAGGCGCACCAAGGCGACGAUCCUUAGCUGGUCUGAGAGGAUGAUCAGCCACACUGGGACUGAGACACGGCCCAGACUCCUACGGGAGGCAGCAGUGGGGAAUAUUGGACAAUGGGCGAAAGCCUGAUCCAGCAAUGCCGCGUGAGUGAUGAAGGCCUUAGGGUUGUAAAGCUCUUUUACCCGGGAUGAUAAUGACAGUACCGGGAAAAUAAGCUCCGGCUAACUCCGUGCCAGCCGCCGCCGUAAGAC